rnacentral:lncRNA from 1 species
GGGACAGUUCAGCACUUCCAUUACUUUUUUUUAACCUCUUUCUCCUUAUCUUUCUACUCUCAGUCUUUAAACAUCUUUCUUAUCAUUGUCUGUCUUCGGGACUUUCUCUUACUUUUAAGGGGUGUAAGAAUUCUUUUUGUAUUGUCCUGUCUGAAAACCCAGCUAUGCAAUACUGAGAAGUGUGGUAAAGCUCUUAAGUCCAAAGAGUUCUAGUAGUUUCUCCAGGAAGUGAUAGAGAGAUAACAGAGAGAGAGUCAUUAUCCUCUGCCAUAAUCGCCUUAUCAGUAGCUGUAAGCACUUCAGAGGAAAAGAAUAAUUUCGGUUUAAUCAACACUUACAUACGUCAGAUCACAUCAAGGUAUUUAGUUUUGGAUAAAGUACCCACAGCUCUGAAUGUCUGACAAAAGCUGGUUUUAUUUUUAUUUGGUUUUAUUUGAAAUGUGUUCAAGCAUGCGGCAUUUGAUUUGGUUACCUUAAAUUUGAACUACUUGGGGCACAGCUGUAUGCAGCUGACGCUUAAGGGCAGGUGUUCCUGAACUGGGGGUAGUAGCUCCAGCCAUGUCAUGGCAGUUAAGCAGCAGGUUAUGAAUCCAAAUAAAAGGCAGUUGCUUGCUCUAUCCUGAGGAAAUCACAAGACCAGCAGAGGCAGGCUGCACAGUUAGCAAUAGAUUUUAACUUAAGAGCGUUUGUGGAGAUAAGGUCUUUAUCUUGUACAUCAUUAUGUAUUUAAUGGAAACUGGAUAAGCACAGAACUAAAUGCUUUUUUUUAGACAUUGUUUCAGUCUUUUUUUUUUUCAAUAAGGAAAAUAAUAAGUAAACUGUUACUUUACAAUUGCUUUUAAAUGCAAAGUAGAUCUCACUUUGACAGUUUUGAACGAGACGAGUUGUACAGCAAAUACCUGGAGGCUUCUAUUUGGAGGGCUGAUAGAGUAGUCUUUGAAUGUGAAUGAAAGCAGUUGUUAUUUUGUGCAGUGUAAAAUAUGAGAAACUUGGAGCUCAAGCUUUGUGAAGAAAUUUGUUUUAGUAGCUGUACUUGGUGGUGCUUAAUUCCCAGCUUUAUUAAUUACAGAAUUAGAAAAAACUGUAUUGAAUGAUCAGUUCAGUCUUCUCUCUGCAAUACAAGAUUGUCAUCACAUAGCUGAGUUCUGCAGUCUGUCACAGGCAGUGUAAUGUUUCAGAUGUGCUAAUAACUGUAUCAUAGUCAUGGAAUUGCAUUAGAAGAUAAGACCUGGGAUAAUAAUUUAUAUGUUAAAAAAUGCAAAUAACUCUGUCAGUAAACUAAAACUAGGAAGGCUAUUUAAUUCUGGAUAUAUCAUUUACUGGGAUUUUGAUAGAGGACAAAGCUCUUAAAUUAUCAGCUAUUAUCACUAACGAGGAACAUGGAGCAUUCAUCAGCAGAAUAUCAUCUAGAUCUUCUGAAUAUUGUCACAUUCUAGGUAGAACAAAACAUUUACCCUGGCAACAUAAAAGGUUCAGCAGGACCUAUCCCCUAAGUAAAAGUUAAUGAUAUUUCUGUGAAGGAUCUACUAAUAAUAGUCUUGGUGUAGCAGCGUAAUGUACAUUGCUUUUGUGUUACUACUGCAUACUUCUUAUUACGCUGCCUGUUAAGUAACACAGAGUAAUUUCCCAUGCCACAGAGAGAACAGGUUAUAGGCAGAGUGAAAUUUGACAAGCUAGUAAGCAAUAGUUGUGCACUUUAUGGGCACAUUGACAUAUUUUUUUUUGCCUUCUAACAUCCAGAAAAUGAAAAUAUCUUCAUCCUUAAGAGGCACUUGCAUGAGAGUAGUUAGCUGAUGGUAACCAUUCAGGAGUUGUUUCACACUGAGGUAUUUCACUAGCCAUUUUCAGUCUGUGUGUAUAACAUUAGGUGGAACAGUGCACCUGGAGUAAUGGAUAAGCUGUUUCAAAAUGAAAUUUGAAUAAACAAAAUAAUGCCUAGUUGGUCAAUAUUCCUAGGAAUUGAAGCAAAUUUGACUAGUGAGAUUCAAAUGGAAAUACUGAAACAAGCAACUAAUUUCAUUAGCAACAACAAAUUAAUUCUAAGGAAACUGGAGAAAGAGAGAGCAUAGGAAGACCUGGGAAUGUGUGUACAAGUGGGAACAAAUUUAUCUGGCCUCCAGGUGGUGCAGUCUUUCACACUCUGGUUAUCCAUCCCAGGUAACAAGCAGAGUUCCAUCUGUAGCAGUCUUUCUUAGGGUGACCAAGCCAGUGUACAGUGACCCCAUCAUCACUGUGCUGUAUCAGGUAGCCAUGCUGAGGUCCUCUGGCAAAGUAUCUGUAAAGAGCUGUUCCCACAAUGCUUCAGUGUUGGGUUAAAAAGAAGGCAGUCAGCCUAAAGUGUACCCAGCCUCUGUUAUAACUAAUACCAAUUCUCUGAAUUUCAGACGAAUAGUGUGGUGAGUUUGGAGCUAAAAAAACAAACAAACAAACAAAAACUCUGGUGUAAUAGACCUGAAUUUGUCAUCUUAAGAUUGUGAAUGUGAUUGCUUGAUUAGGGGACUGUUAGAAAGUUCUGAUUACAAGGUAAGUUUUAAGAAAUAGUUUUUCACCUUAGUCUGGGAUUGCUUAGUCUGGAGAAGGGGAGGCUCAGAGGAGCUCUCAGCAACUCCCUGAAAGGAGGUUGUAGCGAGGUGGGGUUGUCCCAAGUAAGAGCAAUAGGGUAAGAGGGAAUGGCCUCAAGUUGCACCAGGGGAAGUUCAGGUUGGGUGUUAGGAAGAAUUUCUUCUCAGAAAGAGUGAUAAUGCAUUGGAACAGCUGCCCAGGGAGGUGGUGGAGUCUCCAUCCCUGGAUCAUUCCCAGCAUCGGAGAUUUCAACUUCAGCGUAUGGAAAAGAAAACAACAAAACAAACACAAAGCCCUGGAUUUUGAUUAAGGCAAAACCAUGAACUUAAAGGAGGAGACGAUUAUUGGUUUAGAAACUGGUCCAAUAUACAGUAUAAAAGGAAAAGGUGGGAGACAAAAAGAAGAUUUGGAAACAUUUUUUCCUCCGUAUAAAUUGUAGUUUGUCCCUGUCCAGUGAACUGAUUCACUGUUUCUGUGUCCUAUGGGUUCUUUGUUAAGCAAGAGAAGUUAGUAGUUAAUUAUAUCAUGAAUGUACUUGUCUGUGUACAGUUUUUAGAACAUUAAAAAGGGUUUGUUUGCUUAGCUGUCAACAAGGAAAAACGUAAGGGAGGCAUUCAGCAAACCAAUUUUGAGAUUAAAAAUCCUUUCUUUUAUAUUUUAAAACAUGCCCCAAAAUGAGGCAGUUGGCAAACUUCUCAGGACAAUGAAUUUUUCCCAUUUUUCUUUCUACGCCACACAGUGCAUUGUUUUUUCUACCUGCUUGUCUUAUUUUUUAGAAUAAUUUAGUAAACAAAAGAAAAACCGUUUCUCCUAAUUUUGGCAUGAAUUCCCUUGUUUCAAAAUGAAGACAACCUUGCAAAGAGAUUUUGAGGAAAAAAAAAAAAAAGGUUUUGUAUAAAUGAGCAUUGUGCUUUUUGUCACCAGUUAAAGUAUAUAUUAUUGGUGGGAUGCGAAAAAGGCACUAGACUACUGAAAAGUAGCAGCAUUUCAUUGCCUACAUUGAUUCCUUCCUGGUAAUGUGGUAGGCUAGCAAUAUUUUUGGUUAAAAUCAUGUUUGUGACUGUAACCAUUUGUAUGAAUUAUUUUAAAGAAAUAAAAAUCCCAGACAAAUACCAUAUGUGUAAAAAUUUUUAUUUCUAGUAACUGUUUAUUCAACUUUUAUUAGGUUUCUUAGCUGUAAUUUUUAAACAGAUGCUGUCAAGUAUUUCAUUUCUAGCUUUACUUUGCUCUCUGUUGUUUGUAAUGCCGUCUUGGAAGCUUGAAAAAAUAAAAGAAAAAGAAUUUCUUUCCAUGCCAUUUUUCCCUUUACAUUUCGUAAAUGUUGAUCUUAUUUCCUGUGUUUCUAAUGGAGUUUGAAAUUAAGAUGGAUUUUGAUUUGUACGUCGGCAUCAUCAGCUACAAUAUGGUAACAGCGUUUAUGCCACCGCUGUGGGCAGAGCAGAGCAGGUACAACAGCACCACGACAAUAAUAAUAAUAAUAAACGUCUUUUGCCGAAGUCCAACAUGAGAAGUGUGCAUUGUUUUAUUUAUUUUGUGCUGAUGGAAGCGUGCAGCAGAACGUGACUGUAUUUGCUGUGUGGAAGGAGUUGCUUUCGCAGGCGGUGUUUCUCAGGCAGGUGUUCAGCUGGAAGCUGCCUUGGCCUUAAUGAACACCUCUUUGAGAUGGCC